UACGUAGGGUGCAAGCGUUAAUCGGAAUUACUGGGCGUAAAGCGUGCGCAGGCGGCUAUGCAAGACAGAUGUGAAAUCCCCGGGCUCAACCUGGGAACUGCAUUUGUGACUGCAUAGCGUAGAGUACGGUAGAGGGGGAUGGAAUUCCGCGUGUAGCAGUGAAAUGCGUAGAUAUGCGGAGGAACACCGAUGGCGAAGGCAAUCCCCUGGACCUGUACU
rnacentral:rRNA from 1 species